rnacentral:lncRNA from 1 species
CUAAUCCUCAUGAUCCUCAAGCCUACAAGAAAUCUAUUACUUAAUAGGUCUCUUGGUGCUAUUCUAACUUCUAAACAAUAUGGGGAUUGCUAACUAUUAGAUACACUUUGACCCGAAUAAGAAUUCUAUAAUAUCUUUAAGUGAAUCCAUAAACUUUUAAUACAUAAUUAAUAACUUAAUAAAUAUAAUUAUCACUAAAUCUAAAAAUAAUUAAUAAUUUAAAGAAAAUACAAAACCUUAAUAUUGGAAGAAAAAUUAAUAAAUUUAUUAAAACAUUUACAGGCCCAAAAUAAUAAUUAAGCCCAAAGAAAAUAAUUUAGAAAAACCUACAAUGACUUAAUAAGGCCCAAGCAUAAUACAUAAAUUGAGCCCAUAAGUUUUAUUAAACAGCAGCCCAUUUAGAAAUAAAAAUCGGCCCAUUAGCUAACUUAAAGCCCAAAUAUAGCUUAAAGCCCAAAUUGGAAAAAAAAAAAAAUAAUCAAACUAAAACAAAAGAAUAGAAAAUCACCUCUCACUUUCUCUCUCUCUCAAAUCGGUCCCCUCUCUCUCUUUCUUCUCCCUGAACCACCGCCUCUUCUCCCUCCAAGAUCUGCCGCCGCCGCCUGCUUCAACCCCGGCGAGGAUCGCCGGCUCCGACGCCUCCCCCAAUCAUCGUCGUCUCCUCCGUCUCUCCCUCCUGGCGCACAUCAGGCGGCCGAAGAGCGCCGCCGCCGCCGCUGCUGCUUUCGCGGCGGUCCGCGCGCGCCUGUCCUUCGGCCGCGUCCUCCUCCCCCUCUCUCUCUCUGCUCGCGGCGACCAGCCACCCUGGGCCGCCCCACCACGGCAGUGGCUGCUGCCGACUCUACCUCUCCUCCUUCCUCCCAGAUCCGUUGCCGCCGCCGCCUGCAGCCACUCCGGCGAGACUCGCCUUCAGCCGCCUCCCAUCUGCCCUCUCCUUCCAUCAUGUUUCCGGCAGCGGACGAGCGCUUGCUGCUGCUGCUCCGUUCUCGCAGUGGCUAGCGGCGCUUGGCCUUCGGCCGCGCCGCCCCGUGCGACGGCGUCUCGCAUCGCCUCGGGUCACGCCGCCUCGCCUCCUGCCAGCCAACAGUCGUCCGUCUUGGGCCUCCACCUCCUCCUCCGCCUGCUUUAGCUACGAGCGGCCGGUGGGCUGCCGCCACCUGCAGCACCGGCAGCUGCGACUUCGUCAACUCAGAGUGAGGCUCCGACACGACCCCCUCCCAGCUCUCACCACUUUCUCGACUCUCACUCUCUCUCCGAAGGUAAGCAAGAAGGAUUCAACUCAGAUUUGAAGAAAAGAAAGAUGGGUUCUUGGAGAAAUCUGAAAUUGUAUAAAUGUUAUGUCCUUAGGUUUUCUUGUU